rnacentral:rRNA from 1 species
GACGUAGGGGGCUAGCGUUGUCCGGAAUCAUUGGGCGUAAAGAGCGUGUAGGCGGCCCGGUAAGUCCGCUGUAAAAGUCAAAGGCUCAACCUUUGAAUGUCAGUGGAUACUGCCGGGCUAGAGUCCGGAAGAGGCGAGUGGAACUCCUGGUGUAGCGGUGGAAUGCGCAGAUAUCAGGAAGACCACCAACGGCGAAGGCAGCUCGCUGGGACGGUACUGACGCUGAGACGCGAAAGCGUGGGGAGCGAACAGG